rnacentral:lncRNA from 1 species
ACUGUGGAUGCCUUCGUAAGUUGCAUGGAAGGUUUUUAAACCUAGCCCUGCCGAGCAGCCCUCUCCUGGUCCGGGAGAACGAUGGGGAGAGAGCUGGCGUUCAGCUUUCAUCACUGGAGCCGUUCCUUCUUCCGGCCCCCCGAGGGCCUGUCCAUGAUCACACUUUGUCUUGUUUCGGGGGUGGCCCCUGUGACCCCUUAGAGGUGCAAAUCCAAGGCAGUAGAAGCCGCCUGCCAGGCCAGUGCCCGCCACUGCUUAAUUCAGGCGGAAUCACGGCUCAGAGGGUUCCCUCCACUUUCCAAGGGAAACAUGUCCACGGGGUAUCUCUUCCUGCGUAUUUUCUCACGACCCUUCCUUACAUCCAAGGCCACGUCUCUCGACACGUUGUCCCCCCUCUGCCGUCACACAUGGCGUAAUCCGCGCCCCCCCUACCCCCCACAUCAGCUGCUCAGCGAGCCGCACUCACAGUCACAGGCCCCGCCGGCGGCAACCCCACCUCCUCCCGCCCAGGCAGGAAACGCUCAGCAGCACCAUCUGCUUGGCUCCUCAGCCAGCCGCGCUCCGGGAGCCCUGGGGGCGAGGCGGCCGUGGCGUCCUCCACGUCUGUGUCUCCCCGCACGUCAGCCGCCCCACGCUGUCUCUGGAAGCUUCCGGAGUACCCAGGCCUUCUGCACUCCACGCACUGCAUGUGCGCCUGAGCCGCUGUCUCGAUUUUACAAAACGGAAUCUAGCAGUCCAUGCACUCAGGGAGGCGGCUGGCAGGAUUUUCUGGCAAACUAAGGGUGUUCUUUCCUGGCCAAAGGAAAAGUCUUUUGGAAAAUGAAUAAUCUCUUCCUAAUUUGCUUGACUAGGAAGAUGGGUUUUUGCACAGUGGGUUUGUUGAAGGGAGGCAGCUCUUGAAAUUUUGUUCAUAAUCCGACAUGACAAGGGUGACCGUAUAAUCUACCGACCCAUCUGAGCCCCUUGAGAAGAAAGGAGAAGGUUGUUAAUACACGCACUGGGACCACAGGCAUCACUGGGCCUGUCCUGGGCAAACUGAUUUAUGAUGGCCGCCGUUGACCUUCGCUGUGGUCAGCCUAAGUGACCUCAGCGUGCACCUGCCAUGAUUUCCUGGAAUCACUCUCUGGGUUCCAGGCUUCUAGGCCUGUGGUUUUGGGGCUGGUUUCUCUGAAUUCUCAGAUCCUGGUCAGAAGUUUGUGGGCAGAUUGGUGUCUGAUGAAUGAGGGCCGCUCAUUCAAGAAACCAGCGUAGCAAAUGGGAGGUGGUGCAGGGUCUCUCUGCGAAGCGCUCAAGCCCACUUCCCUGCCCCCACGUGUCCUGAUUUUACUUUGAAAUUUCCAGUGGAUGCAAUAGUGCCGACCAUGUGCACAUGGGGUCAGGAUCUCAGGCCCGCCAGCUGGACUACAGCAAGUACCCAUGGUCUCAGGGAAAAGGUCCCCUGCUGCAGGCUGUGGGGGACCUCGGCUCUCACAGUGGCUAUGCCUGAGAAAGCCCCUCCAGACUCGCCAACCUGGCCCGCGCGUCCUGUCCGGAGGGCAGGGUGGGGCUGGUGCUGGUUACAGAUGAUCCUCAAGGGCACAGCACGCAAGCCACCAGGCGCCCCUCCUGCAGCUGGGUCAGAGAGAGGCACUGGGAGCCUGGCUCCCUCCAGGUCAGUCUCCACCAGGGCCACCCCGGUGACCUGCAGGAGAGGAAGGCAGACGAGGAGUGGCCCUGCCCCUUAGGGCGCAUCGUGCAGGUGGCACAAGGGGGUCAUCUGCAUCCUGGUCAAGGGGGAGCCCACCUGCCUCCUCCAGGUCGGGAACACUCCCUGGAGGCCAUGGUGUGGAGCGUCCACCCGGGCUUCGUCCUCCAGCUCAGCUGCUGGGCCCUGGGAAGGGACAGGCCCAGCACCCGUUCAGCCGGGCUGAGCCGCAGGCAGAGCGCCUUGCCUGGGAGAGACAAACCCACCGCUGAGGACACACCCUCAAGGUUCACCCUUCCCCACUUCUGUGUUGCCCUUAGCUCUAAGGUGCUAAUUCCAUCUCUAGUUUCAACAGGCUGAUUGCUCUUAAGGGAAAAUGGGGUUGCACAAUCCGGCUGUGGUGGCCGGGGCUCUUGGUCUCCCCCCAGUAAGAGGAUGGACUUUCCAGCCCUGCUGAUGGUCAGCGGGGACCACGUGGAGGCUUUGGCAGAUGAAAUGGGGCACAUGACAUAGCCCUGCCCCAGUGGAAGCCUCAGAGCCAUGGCUGGGCUCCACCAGGCUUGCUCCAGCGGCCAUGAGGACCAUGCCCCACAGGCAGGGGCUGCACCUCCACCCUGGUUCCAGAAGGAAGAGGCACAGCCGACAUGCCGCUCGAGCAGGAAACCCUGGGGAAGGUGGGACAUGAGAUCCUGUGUCUGAUACUACAGUGUAACCGGCUAGAAACUGACUCAAAGGGGCAUUUUUACAGCAGAAAGAGGCGAAGCACACGUGCAUCUGCCAUCCUGUGAUUGUCAGGCCCCGUUUAGGAGUGGACAGCUCCAUGGUUGUGUUUGAGCCCCACACCGGCCCUGGGGGGUUAUACUGCCCUGGAGGACAGCUGACCUCAGUUCUCCAAGCUUCCAUUCCCCCUUGUAUGGGCACAGCACCCCAACCUUCUUUUGGCAGCUCCCACGCCCCCCAGUGCUGGUGGGCUCUAGGGCUCUGGUCCCUGAUGCUCAGAGGCACAGAGACAGCAUUCCUCAGGGGCCCUGAUCCUCUGGCCCGGUUCAGACUGUGGUGGGGCCUCGGGACCUUUCCAGAACCUUGGAAGUGGGUAGCACCCUUUGCUGGGACAGACAUGCCUGGAGCUCCGGGCAUUGGGCCACUGCUGGGAUAAGCCCACGACAGAAUGAAGCCGGGCAGGCAGAAAGAGCUGCGGGCUCCCUGGCCACUCCUGUUUCCGUAAAGGGCCUGGUGUCUCAUUUCCUACUUACCUUGGACUUUAAGGGCCUCCUGCAGCCUUUGUCACACACUCUUCUUAUUUUUUUGUCCAUUACAACCUUUUACGGCGGCACAAGCCAUUGUUCUCAGGGCCAACGCGUGAGUCCUGUGGUGAGUUUCCUAUUAGUGUGGCUCGAGAAGGUACCCCGUGCUGACGAAGCCUGGAGAGGCAGGGCCACACUGCAGAGCCUCAGGCCAAGGGUGGCGGUGCUGGGGUCUCAUGAGCCCAGGGUUCACUGCCCACCAGGCGGCAUUAGCCUGCGGCUUUGGCGCCCAGAAGUCCCGACAGGCAGCAAAGUCUCCUGCUCCUGGCUGCUGGCCAGGAGAGCCCAGCUGGGCCUCACCUGAUCGAGAGGAAACGCCUGUGUCCUCUAAUCAGCAUCUCACUGACAGAGUCACCCCUGGUACAGCAAGUGGGCUUUCAAGGACAUCAGGUGGCUGCAUUCAGGCUGGUAACAACACCGCCCUCAGCUCUCACAGUCUGAGGAAGCCCCCUGAAAAGUCACUGGAGUGGGGCUGCAGGAACCCCACAAAGGCCUUUCCUGCUCCUGAAUAAUUCCCAAGCACCUAGGACUUCCCGGGCCUGGCUUCUCCGCCAGUCCAACCUCCGGACCUGAAGACCAAGCAGUGCCCAAGUGUGAGGUCCCUGGAGAAGGAGGAGGAAGAGUGGAAGGAGGUGGAGGGUAAUGCAUCCAGAGGAAGACGCUGAGGGUCAGGCUGGCCCUGGGUCUGACCUGUCCUUGGGAUCAACUGCUUCAUUAAAAAACAUCCGCCUAAACUGUGGAGACAGAGGAAGGAUCAGUGCUUGCCAAGGGCUGGGGGAGGAGGAACAGGCAGAGCGCAGAGGGUUUCAGGGCAGUGCCGCUCUGCGUGACGCCAUCACGGAGGGUCCAGGUCAUCACACGUCUCUCCAAACCCCUAGAAUGCCCAACACUCACUCUGAAGCCUUCUGUCAAUGUGGGAUCAUCUGUCGUAAAGUCUGCACCGCUGUGGUGGGGGCGUGGAUAGUGGGGGAGGCUGUGCGUGUGUGGGGGCAGGGAGUGUAUGGGAAAUCUCUGUACCUUCCGCUCAAUUUGGCUGCGAACCUAAACUGCUCUAAAAAAAGUCUAUUUUUAAAAAGCAUAUGCCCGAAAAGUCCUUGAAAAUGCAUCUUUCCCUAAAUAUUCAAAUUUAUGUUCAUUAAUAAAAUAGCACAUAUUUAUUCUAAUUUUUAAAUCUUCACAAAUAUCAGUGAUUGCAUGAUUUGUUCUCAAAAACACUUUUCCAAACUACAUCUAGAAGCCACAUUUCUGUGGUCGGCUCGCCAGUGGUGGGCACGCGUCAGGUCGGAUGGGUAGGGCCUGGGGUGACCCUGGCUUUCUGCCCUCUGAGCACGACAUGGAGGCUGGACUUGUGCCUCUGCAGCCCCUCGAAGCACUGCCACCAUCCUGCCGAGGGCCCAAAGCCUUGUCUCCACCUGCGCGCCUUGAGUGUCCUCGCUGGGAAAUGGGCACAGCAGGGCAGCGAAGGUGCUGGUGCUGACGUUCCAUGACUGUGAGAGCCGGGAGGCACCCCAUGCGGAGACCAGGCACAGAUCCCCAGAUCACUGAAGGGACGAUCCCCCAACAGGCAGAACCAGGGUACGGCCCGGGGUUCUGACUCCUGGGGAUUCAGGGCCCUGGGCCUGGUGCCAGCUGGGCACGUUUCUCAGCCCAUCAGAGGACACAAAGGGCAAAUGGAGCAGGUUGAAUUGUGUCCCCAAAAUGAUCUGUCGAAGCCUGCACCCCACAACCAUGAAUGCAACCUUCUCUGGAAGUGGAGUCACUGCAGGUGUAUUAAGAUGUCAGUUAGGAUGAGGUCACCCUGGAGAGAGGUGGGCCCUGAUUCGGUGCGACUGGUGCCUGGUAAGCGGAGGAAAGACGCAGAGAUGCGCAGAGGGAAGCUGCGUGAAGGCCCAGGAAGGAAGGCCUGAGAAGCUGGAGGCAGAGGCUAGAGCGAUGCCUCUGCAAGCCAGAGAUGCCAAGGGCUGCUGGCAACAGAGAAGCCAGAAGAGGCAAGGAACAGAUUCCUCCCUGCAGGGAGCACGGCUCGACACGCCGCACCUUGAUCGCAGGCGUCUGGCCUCCAGCCGGAGCCGGGACACGUUUCUGCUGUUGUAAAUGACCCCAUUUGUGGCCGUCUGUUGCAGCAGCUGUGGGGAACUGGCACCGAUCUCAGGGCCGGAAGCACAGCUGGGCACGGCUCUCCCCAGCUCUCUCGGUCACUGUCCCCUGUCACAAACCCCGUGCAAAACAGCCUGAGGGGGUUCCUUGCUGCCCUCCAGGGCUGUGUCUGAGUGCUGAGCCAGCCCCUGGAGGCCAGGGCCUCAGAGCACAGGGGAGCCACAGGAAGGGGUGUCUCCACCCGGAAUUGGAGCAGGAGGGCCAAGGCCUUCCAGGCUGAGGAAGGGAACAGGAUCAGGGCCUCCUCCUCUCAAGGUGGCCCCUGCCAGCGGCCCCUGGAGCUGCAAGGCUACAGGGACCUGGCCCCAGGUGGGGCUCCUGUCACCCCCCUGCACGGAACUCACUCUCACCCCCAGCCUUUCCUACCCCUCACACCACCACCCUGCAUCCCACCCCAAACUGGGUAACCCCCCAGCAAUCCCCCAGGGACACAGAGAGGAGUACCUGGGGGAUGACUGGGAGGAGUGCUGGGGAGAGGAGUGCUGGAGGAUGACUGGGGGAGGAACAGGGAGAGGAGUGUCUAGGGGAUGACUGGGAGGAGAGCCGAGGAGAGGAGUGCAUGGGGGAUGACUGGGGGGAGGUUGGCCAGGAGCACCUCAGUGGCCGCUCAGAAGUGCUCAGCUUCACUGGUGCUUGAGCACUUCCAGUGUGCCCAGAAUGAGGAGCACAUUUACGAAGGCAGCAAUAGAGAUGGUGGCAGCCUUCAUCAGAGAGAUGGGGUCCUGCCCAGGCCUCAUAAGGAGGUGCGUGCUGGCAGUGACAACGGGGACAAGAGGGGCAGAGAUGAGACACUGGGAUGCAAGGAUUGCAUUUGAGCCCGAUGAAGAAGGAACUGUUGAGAGUAUCCCACAGUUACAGACCCAGAGUGGGGGCAUCCCCAUGGCUCAGGGAACCCCAGCUUCAGAGACACACACAGCGUGCAAGCCACAUGAGCAGGCCGGGAUACCCCUCCACCACGUGAGCCCAGCAGUCACCAGGGCAUUUUGGAAACAGCGUGGUCUUGGUCCCGAGCUGCAGAUACACAAGAUGUUCCCAGGGGAAAACUGAGUGAAAGGUACAUGGAAUCUCUAGAUUUUUUUUUUUGCAACCUCCUGUGAAUAUGUAAUUGUUUUAAAAUAAAAAGUUAAUCAGACCAGUAUGGUCAGUGGUGUGACCAUGUGUGUGUAUGCAUGUGUAUGUGUGUGCGUGCAUGUGUGUGUGUCCGUGAGUGCAUGUGUGUGAUGUGUCUGUGCAUGCGUGUGUGCAUGUGUGUGCAUGCAUGUGUGUGAUGUGUCUACAUGUGUGAGAAUGUGUGUGCAUGUGUGUGAUAUGUGUGCACGUGCGCAUGUGUGUGCAUUGUGUGAUGUCUGCAUGUGUGUGCAUGUGUGUGAUGUGUCUGCAUGUGUGUGAUGUGUCUGUGCAUGCAUGUGUGCAUGUGUGUGAUGUGUCUGCCUGUGUGUGCAUGCAUGUGUGUGCGUGUGUGCAUGUGUGUGUGCAUGUGUGUGGGCUGAUGGCAGAAUUUCAGGAGCAUGGCUAAUCUGACCCAUUUCAAUCAAGUCCAUAAAAAAAAAAAUGAUUCUGGAAAGACACCUCUAUGGCAAACCACGAAAAGACUUGGUGACAGAACCACUCAGCCAUGACACCAGGCUCAUCCCAAGGACAGUGGUGACCCGUUUCCAUUUGUGCCACUUGAUGUGGAUGGAGGCAGCACAGCGAGACAAGGGCUAGACACA